rnacentral:rRNA from 1 species
UACGGAGGGUGCAAACGUUGCUCGGAAUCAUUGGGCGUAAAGCGCACGUAGGCGGCCUUUUAAGUCGGGUGUGAAAGCCCUGGGCUCAACCCAGGAAGUGCACUCGAUACUGCAAGGCUUGAAUAUGGAAGAGGGUCGCGGAAUUCCCGGUGUAGAGGUGAAACUCGUAGAUAUCGGGAGGAACACCAGUGGCGAAGGCGGCGACCUGGGCCAAUAUUGACGCUGAGGUGCGAAAGCGUGGGGAGCAAACAGG